AAUAUAUCCAGUAAAUAUGCAUGUGCUAAUCUCAGAAAUGAUCCACUUACUUUUCAUCCAAAUAUUUAUUUGACACUGAUUUAAAAACAGUAUUUUGUACCAAGUCUUUUGG